rnacentral:rRNA from 1 species
GACGUAGGGCGCGAGCGUUGUCCGGAUUUAUUGGGCGUAAAGAGCUCGUAGGCGGUGUGUCGCGUCGGCCGUGAAAACCUGCAGCUUAACUGUGGGCUUGCGGUCGAUACGGGCAUCACUGGAGUUCGGCAGGGGAGACUGGAAUUCCUGGUGUAGCGGUGAAAUGCGCAGAUAUCAGGAGGAACCACCGGUGGGCGAAGGCGGGUCUCUG